CACCCCCGAGACUUCCACCCCCAGCACUUCCUGGAUGAGAAGGGCCAGUUUAAGAAGAGUGAUGCUUUCGUGCCCUUCUCCAUCGGAAAGCGGUACUGUUUCGGAGAAGGCCUGGCCAGAAUGGAGCUCUUUCUGUUCCUCACCACCAUCUUGCAGAACUUCUGCUUCAAGUCCCCUCAGCUGCCCCAAGACAUUGACGUGUCCCCCAAAUGUGUGGGCUUUGCCACCAUCCCACGCAAUUACACCAUGAGCUUCCAGCCCCGCUGAGCAAGGGCUGUUCUGGAUCAGGGCUGGGGGAGGAGCAAGGAUGUGGGAGGGGCAGAGUCGGGGAUAUCAUGAGGGGCGGUGUUAGUGGAGGGCGGAGCUGGCAGGAGGGAGGUGACUUAGGGAAAUCUGAGGGUGAAGGUGGACAGGAGAGGAAGAGGAAAGGAAUGGACUUUGUUUACCUUGCUAGAGAUAGAUGGUUCAGAGGCAGAAAUAGAGGAAGGGAAACUUCACAUGAUACUGUUAAUAAUAACACCUAUUAUUUGUUGAAAUCUGUGUCAGUUCUGAGCUAUAAACAUUACGCUCUUACUUCACUUAAUACUCACAAAUCUGUGUGACUGGGAAUAGUGUUCAUGCCAUUUUACAAAGGUUAACCGAUUCCCCAGGAGGCUAUAAGAACUAAUUCUUUUAAUAAAGGAGUUUAGAAAGGGCACUAAA